CGCGUAGGCGGUUCGUACAGUCAGACGUGAAAUUCCCGGGCUCAACCUGGGGGCUGCGUUUGAUACGUACGGGCUUGAGUUCGGAAGAGGGUCGUGGAAUUCCCAGUGUAGAGGUGAAAUUCGUAGAUAUUGGGAAGAACACCGGUGGCGAAGGCGGCGACCUGGUCCGAUACUGACGCUGAGGCGCGAAAGCGUGGGGAGCAAACA
rnacentral:rRNA from 1 species